UAUAAGACCUCGACCUCUUUCUUAAUAAAAACUUCAAGCAUGCAAGACACAACAUUAAUGUUGACGUUUUCCAGUUCCUUUUUUUACGAUAAUCUAGAUUUGAAAUGGUUUUAUAGCAAAUAUUAUUUGCUGUUACAAACAGUACACAAUAAAUAUAUUUCAUGCUUCCGUUUUUUUCAAUUACUACGAGCUCGUGAUGCUGUGGAGACAAGCGAGUUGACUUUAUUGGUUAAGGAAUGCCUGAUUUUGUCCGCUUUAAUAAUUAUAUCACUUACAUAGUAAGCCACUGUCACCGCACCAUAUGUGUAAGGACAGGAAUAUAUGCGUGGCCCGCGUUUGCCGCUACUGAAUCGCACAUUGGAAAAAAUAAAUUCGUUUUUAAACAUAUAACUGUAAUAAUAUGGUAACUAUAUACAAAGGGAAUAAAAACAAUUAAAAACAGAA